UACGUAGGGCGCAAGCGUUGUCCGGAAUUAUUGGGCGUAAAGAGCUCGUAGGCGGCUUGUCACGUCGGGUGUGAAAGCCCCGGGGCUUAACCCCGGGUCUGCAUUCGAUACGGGCUGGCUAGAGUGUGGUAGGGGAGAUCGGAAUUCCUGGUGUAGCGGUGAAAUGCGCAGAUAUCAGGAGGAACACCGGUGGCGAAGGCGGGUCUCUGGGCCGAUACUGACGCUGAGGAGCGAAAGCGUGGGGAGCGAACAGG
rnacentral:rRNA from 1 species